rnacentral:rRNA from 1 species
GACGAACGCUGGCGGCGUGCUUAACACAUGCAAGUCGAACGGUGAGGCUCCAGCUUGCUGGAGUGGAUCAGUGGCGAACGGGUGAGUAACACGUGAGCAACCUGCCCCUGACUCUGGAAUAAGCGCUGGAAACGGCGUCUAAUACUGGAUACGAGAAGGGUCCGCAUGGGCACUUUCUGUAAAGUUUUUCGGUUGGGGAUGGGCUCGCGGCCUAUCAGCUUGUUUGUGAGGUAAUGGCUCACCAAGGCGACGACGGGUAGCCGGCCUGAGAGGGCGACCGGCCACACUGGGACUGAGAAACGGACCAGAAUCCUACGGGAGGCAGCAGUGGGGAAUAUUGCACAAUGGGCGAAAGCCUGAUGCAGCGACGCCGCGUGAGGGAUGACGGCCUUCGGGUUGUAAACCUCUUUCAGCAGGGAAGAAGCGAAAGUGACGGUACCUGCAGAAGAAGCACCGGCUAACUACGUG